rnacentral:lncRNA from 10 species
UUCUGUUUUGAGUUCCAACCUGGGAUGCUUCUGUGGGAACCACCUGUUCCUGGCUCUGUUGAUCUUUGGAUUUCCCCAGCCCUUCAGUCCCUUUCAGUUUUGAAAUGAAACCUACCCCAGAGGGCGAGGUCAGGUUACGAAGAGGACUUUGACAGCUCACCUUGGGUUGUUUUUUUCCCCCAGAGCUGUCUAGUGUGUGACUGUGUGAGGUGUGAGGCUCAGCAGGCUGUGAUACAGAUUAAUUGAUGGUGAAUCAGCUGUUGGGAAAACAAGCUCAGGGCUCCCACUGAUUGUACAUUAUGGUGAGACGUGGUCUUGUAACACAGUGGUUAAGAAUGUGACUUUGGAGCCAGCCUGCUAGGGGCUGAAUUCUGACUCAGCCAUUUACUAACUGUGUGACCUUAGGCUGGAGUGCAAUGGCAUGAUCUCGGCUCAUCACAACCUCUGCUUCCUGGGUUCAAGCGAUUCUCCUGCCUCAGCCUCCCGAGUACCUGGGACUACAGGCACUCGCCACCAUGCCCGGCUGAUUUUUGUAUUUUUAAUAGAGAUGGUUUCACUAUGUUGGCCAGGCUGGUCUCGAACUCCUGACCUUGUGAUCUGCCCACCUCAG